rnacentral:sRNA from 1 species
UAGAUGAACAGUAGCUGAUUCCUACGAA